rnacentral:rRNA from 1 species
UACGAAGGGGGCUAGCGUUGUUCGGAAUUACUGGGCGUAAAGCGCACGUAGGCGGACUAUUAAGUCAGGGGUGAAAUCCCGGGGCUCAACCCCCGGAACUGCCUUUGAUACUGGUAGUCUCGAGUCCGGAAGAGGUGAGUGGAAUUCCGAGUGUAGAGGUGAAAUUCGUAGAUAUUCGGAGGAACACCAGUGGCGAAGGCGGCUCACUGGUCCGGUACUGACGCUGAGGUGCGAAAGCGUGGGGAGCAAACAGG